rnacentral:rRNA from 1 species
AUCAGCUAGUUGGUGGGGUAAUGGCCUACCAAGGCAAAGACGGUUAGCUGGUCUGAGAGGAUGAUCAGCCACACUGGCACUGAAACACGGGCCAGACUCUUACGGGAGGCAGCAGUGGGGAAUAUUGGACAAUGGGCGAAAGCUUGAUCCAGCCACGCCGCGUGAGUGAUGAAGGCCUUCGGGUUGUAAAGCUCUGUGGGGAGGGACGAAAAAGGUGGAGAAGACAACGCUCCGCCCUUGACGGUACCUCCUUAGCAAGCACCGGCUAACUCUGUGCCAGCAGCCGCGGUAAGACAGAGGGUGCGAACGUUGCUCGGAAUUACUGGGCGUAAAGCGCGUGUAGGCGGGUGAUCAAGUCAGGUGUGAAAUCCCUGGGCUCAACCCAGGAACUGCACUUGAAACUGGUCGCCUUGAGUGUUGGAGAGGGAAGCGGAAUUCCUGGUGUAGAGGUGAAAUUCGUAGAUAUCAGGAGGAACACCGGUGGCGAAGGCGGCUUCCUGGACAAUUACUGACGCUGAGACGCGAAAGCGUGGGGAGCAAACAGGAUUAGAUACCCUGGUAGUCCACGCCGU